AGGGAAUAAGUGCAGUCACCGAAACCCUUCUCAUCUGGUCUGGCAUUUAAAGCACACUACUCUGGAGUCAUGUGAAGUGAAACCCAGGGAAACUAGGCAUGCACCACCAAAGCCACUUCAGUCCAGCUGGCUCCGGGCCUCCUGCAGCCUCUCAUUCAGAAAGGCCAUUCAGAUGUGACCUAAGGCACUGUUGUAGAAAGAACAGAACUUGGACAUAUUGUCUCCAGCUAAAGGGACUGAGGGGAAAGGAGGUGAUGUUGCACUUGGGCUGGGGCAAUCCCAGGCAUCAGACAGGUAAUUAUACUGGAUUUGGGUCUCAUGGUGACAGGCAAAACCCACCAGUUUGCAUAACCCAGCAGCCUACAUCUGUGGUAGGAAACCCCGAAUGCUCAGUGCUCUCGAUGCUCUGGUUGGUGCUCAGGAGCAGCAGGAGUCAAGGUAAAAAUACUCCAAUUCCUGCCCUGCUUUCUUGUCUUCAGGGAAGUUAAAAAAAAAAAAAAGCAAAAAACCAACCCACAUUAAAGCAAAUGUAACAAGUAGAAAGAACAGACGUUCUUUAAAUCAGUUCUUUAAAUGAGAAUGCCAUGUAUACUAAUUCGUAACUGUGUUCAGAAUCAGCACUAAUUAGUUACAUAUAUCCUUGUUAUUUUCUCUUUCUAACACAGAGCACACAGCCCCAUACAAACACUACUGGCAGUUAUGAAUGAGUAAGAAGGCUUUCCCUCUAUGCUCUUCUAAAUUAUGGAAUCUAGCACAGAAAUAUGGGAUUAAUUAAAAUCCAUAAAGUACAAUAAGAUGCUAUUCUCUGCCAUGUGUGCCAGGAGUCAGCAGGUGGUGGGUCACAUGUUCAGCACUGCAGUAUAAAGCUGAGCAAACCCAAAAGGGACCCCAGCCCACAGAUGGCCUCAGCAGCAUUUCUCAAAUGUGCCCAUGCAAGUUAAGAGUGAGGCAAGGAAGAUCCUUGGCUUCUGGGUGUUGGAGUCCAGAGAAAGCACAGGAUUUACAGAUUUUUAAAGUUUCAGGUCAUUUUCUAUAAAAAUGCUUGUGGGGCUUGGGUCCCCUUCCUUACUGCCACUGCCCAGCACUGCUGUGCCUGCUGUGACAGGGCAGAUAUUCUCAUUCCUGUAUGCCUCCAGCCCAUGGCACAUGCAGCCUACCUGUUAGGUUCAGCAGUUGCUUUUUCUUGGCAAGGAGUUGUGGAGAACACUGUGUGUAUUCUUUGCAGGUUCCUGUAACUUGUCCAUCACAUUGCUUUCAGAGCCCCUUUGGCAAAUCUUAUUUUACAGUCUGUGAAAGAUGCUGAUUUUUUUUUUUUUUUUAAAUGUGUUAUGGAAACGUAUUUUUUGUUGCUUGCUCUGUAUGUGUGUGAAUGAUCCCAUGUGCAAUAAGAGAUUCCCAUUGCAUGCUCUGCUUGUAACCACAUUAAAGAGCCACAUGUGUCAGCAGCAGUCAGGAUGUGUGCUGUGGUUAUACUCUCUUCUGAGGUUUUUGUGGUUUGGCUUUUAGGGAAUUUCUCAAAGUUUUACUCCGCAUUUUUUGUUGUUGCUCAUUUUGCAUAGGAAGGAAUUUUUAAUUACUGAAAAACCUUGUGUCCUUACAGUCUCUGUACGGAAUAAAGUUAUAUUGUAUGACA
ensembl:lncRNA